ensembl:lncRNA
GUGUCAAAGUUCCUCAUUUUGGGCAAGUACAAAUUAAUAAGGUAGAGCAACAUAGACUUCCCAUAAAGGGAGAAAUGUGCUAAAGCUUUGUUUUUGCACCCUACUCCUGUUCCCUGUGUUUGUCUUCGGAUCACGUUGCCAGAUCCGUUGUGUGAGAAGUGGGCUUGGCUUCGGUCUCUCUGCAGGAGCAGCGACACAAAACCUGGCAGUCCGGACGAAAAGCAAGUGGAGUCAAGGCUGGUUCUCACCCUCAUGUUGUGAUUGUUAUAUUUCAGCAAUGCUGACUGAACCAUUCGAAACACUGGGACACAUCAUUUCCAACGAAUCGAACGUUUAGCAAUUGAAAUGAUGUUCCUCCCUCGCGAGGCCCGGGAGGCAUUGUGACUGUGACAGCCCGCUCGCGGGUCGGCGUGCCAGUGGAAAACUACUGUCUGUCAGGACCACACGCACACAGACCUGCCGUGCAGGUUUGCGUUGAGUGGUGCUGGUGGGCGGGUGCGGUGAAGGGAGGAGGGGUCAUCAAGUCAUAACACUACGCUGCUCGGACCUUUUGAUAGUGCCUUUUACCGUAAAAAACAGAAAAAGGAAACACUCGUUUUCUCGUUUUUCGUUUUAAAUCCAAAAGGAGAAAACGGAAGUGGACAGUCGUUUUCUCGUUUUUUGUUUAGAACCAAAAAACGAGACAAACUCACAACUUUUUACUCCGUUAAUCCCUUUGGGGGUUUUGCCAAUAAAACGAAAAUACGAAGCGGCGCCGCUAAACCGGAAGUACGUCGAUUUUCACAGUAAGAGUCAACGCAAUGGAACGUGUUUAUGCUAGAAAUGCAAUUUCAACAAUUAAAUUGUCGCAAUCUACAGCACACAGAAAUGCAAAUGCAUACAUUCUGCUACUACACAACAGGUUUAUUGUUUAACUGUGUAUUGUGUGUGCAUUUUCAACACAGACAGGGUACACACAUGUAUACACACAUACAUAUAGACACAUACAUACCCAUAGGCACAAAGAGAAAUGGGGGGGAGGAAAAGGAGAGAAUAAAAAAAUCAAAAAAAUAAAGGGGAGGGUCUGGAUGGCUCUGUACUUUCUAUAACGAAAUCAAUCCUCAGGCAACGUUCAUGUGCUCUUCUCAUAUACUGUCGUUGAUGUGUUGAACUUCUACCAGCAUUUCUGAGACUCUUGCGCCGCUCUGUGUCCAGCUAAAGGCAUCGCCCCUGCUUCCAUCCCUGUGCAGCAUAUCACAUUGUCUAUUAUUGUGUCUACAUUGUCUACGUGGGGACGGCGAGACGAAUCACUGAGAAGCAAUGAGGAUCUCUGGGACUUGAGGACAGCUGUGCAGGCUAGCAUGGGGUUUGCGUAUGCGUCAUCAUUUAAUGAAAGGGAAAGGGUAAUAAGAGUUCACCAAGAAUCAAAAUGACAUAAGUGUUGAAAAAUAAAUAAGAAAAAUUGUAUUUAACCAUGACGUGUUGUAGUUAUCUUUUUGGAUUAAAGUUGUUUUUAAGUUAAUUCAAAAAAGAUUUAACGUAUAAUGUAUAAAACACGUAUUGAAUGAGUUGAGAGAAUACAUGGCAAUGCUUUUAGUAAUCGAUUAAGUACUUAAUAAUCGUUUCAAUCAUCUAGUAUGUGAUGAUUUGCUGCUAUUUUCGCCAUACUUGGUCCCCUGAGUAUUUUUGUAUUUCACAAGAUAUUAAAACACAUUGUCUAAGAUUUCUCCUUUUGUAAACAUGUAUGGGUACAACUAGUUAAGAGUCAUGAAUCCAUAUGUCCUCAAGUUUAGCGAAGUACCAUCACAGCCUGACGUCUUCAAAUUGCUUUCUAUAUUGCUCAAUUCGUAGAUUCAUCAAAAUAGUUGGCGAGUCGAUUUCUGUUGAUUGACUAAUCAAUGAAUCUUUAAAGAAUUAAUAAAUGUGACGGAUGAUGUGACCCGAAGACCGACAAAUGGAGCGUUCGACCAGGAGGAUGACGUGUAAAUUACUCCGCACCUUUAUAGGUCUAAAGUUUAGACCUAUAUCUUACGGAGGUUUUCAAUCUGGAGAGUUUAGACUCUAAACUCUUGUGAAGAUUGAAAGGCUUUCAUAGUUAACGAUACUUUCCGAGGGUCGGAUGCAGAUACGCGAGCCGCCGUGACCGUUUGCCAGCGCGUUAGACGCCAAAGUCACGUGACUUAACCUGUGACGCAUUCGGUGCACACGUCUCCGAAGCUGGAUGGAAAAACAGGUGGCGCAUAGAAUGUUAUGACGUCACACAAAGAUGAAAGGGAAGGGAACGCGUCACAGCCUACGUCAAAGAGUUCUUAAGGCUCCAGAAGGCAUCUUGGAUGCAUUCUUACUUUGGACAACCAACAGAGUGGACGUGUUUGAAGACUUCCAAGCGUCAUGGCAAAAUCACAAUUCCGUGAACUGAGGCUUCUAUGGGAGGAAUCGGCAAAAAUUGAUCUGCACUUGGGAACAAUAAUCCUGAGAAACGUUGACGAGAAACAUCUAAAUCAGCCAAGGAUUUCUAAACUGGAGGCAGAUGUUGAAGUGCUACUUGAGGAACACCGAACUAUGAAGAACCAGAUCCUGAUCGGUGAGAGGGUCCUCAUCAACGUCACUGAACGUCUUUCUACAACAAUUGAUGACCUUCAGAAUCAAGUUGAAAGAUGGGACAGAAAAUUCUCGGAGCGAGAUGAGGAAAUGGAACUACUUAAACAGACCAAUGACCAAUGUCUGUCAGAGAUCCAACAAUUCAGACUGCAGGAAAUACAGGUAGAUAGCAGAGAGGAAUUCAUAAUCUAUGUUGAAGACCCAGACUCAUCUGAGUAUUACAGUGACGAAGGGUUCCUCUCAGAGACGGAUGAGACAGAGGAGACACCGGUUGGGGCCAGAAGUUGGUGGUCUGACCUCGCCAAAACUGUGGUGACAGUAGGAUGUAUUGUUGGCAUCGGCAUCGGGUUAAUGGAGCAUUAUAGGACAAAGGAUUAGCACUUUAAUGCCUAACAGCUGCAGUUCAGACUUGAAUUACAGCCAGUCAAACUGCCUCCUCAGGCUGCCAGACCAAUUCUUUUGCCAGAGCAAUUCUUUUAUGUCCAAUACACCUCAUCGCACCUCGUCCCUUCUAAUCAGGUAAAAAUACUGUCACCAAAUAUCACUAUAUUUAAAUAUGGCUAUUGGUUUAUUCAAAAGACAGAUGCAAUCAACUGCAACUCAGCAGAUGAACAAAAUAAGACAUCCCCUUCUAGCAGGUUUUUGCAUGUAUGUGUGGUUGUUUGCCGCCAUAUGUACCUGUGAGUGUGAAUGAAGACCUCAAACCCAACGUGAACUGUGAAGAUUCAUGUUAAGUUAGAGGUAAAGAGAGUGAAUUUAUAUUUGUAUAUACAAUUGUAUGUAUGUAUGUGGGAAUGUGAAUGAUGACAUAUCGCCCAGUGUGAACUGUAAAAGUCAUCAUCAAACCUAUGUAGGUUUUUCAUUUAUGUGAUCUGUGAUAGCUCAUAUUGAGUGAGAGGUAAAGACAAUGCGUAUGUAUGUGUGAAUGGGAGUGUGAAUGAGGACCUCAAACCCUACGUGAACUGUGAUAGUUCAUGUUAAGUUAGAGGUAAAGAUAAUGCAUUUAUAUUUGUUUGUUUGUAUGUGUGAAUGUGAGUGUGAAUGAGGACCUCAAACCCAAUGUGACCUGUGAUGGUUCAUGUUAAGUUAGAGGUAAAGAUAAUGCAUUUAUAUUUGUUUGUUUGUUUGUGUGUGAAUGAGGACCUCGAACCCGAUGUGAACUGUGAUGGUUCAUGUUAAGUUAGAGGUAAAGAUAAUGCAUUUAUAUUUGUUUGUUUGUAUGUGUGAAUGUGAGUGUGAAUGAGGACCUCAAACCCUACGUGAACUGUGAUGGUUCACGUUAGGUGAGAGGUGUAGAUAAUUCAUGUAUAUAUAUAUAUAUAUAUAUAUAUAUAUAUAUAUAUAUAUAUAUAUAUAUAUUUGUGUGCAUGGGAGUAUUUAUGUGUGUCUGUCCAGCCUGAUCUCCAAAACCUGUUUGUAAAAAUGUAUACAAAAAUCUUGAACAUCCAAAUUUGUAGUGAUACACACUAAAUAAAUACAGACUGCAACUGAUGACGUCACCCCGUAAACACACUUUGUGAAGUCUAACGAGGUUAUGAUAGCAUUUUUAGCGAGAAAUCAAUGUUAAAUUGUAAGUAGUAUGAUUGUGGCGUAAUGGUUUCUUAUCCUGCCGACAACAACAAGUGUGGCGUUUGCUGAUGGACACAGAGAAAACACUCAGGGAUUUUAAGAUUUCCGACAACGGCACUUGGGACAGGCCCAAGAGCUUUUUAAAGCACACAGGUUCGUUCCACUCAGUAGGCAAGGGCUCGUGGUUCCCAGUUUACAAAAGCAUUUUCAUUCAAUAAAUAUAUAUAAAUUACCAUUAAAUCGAACGUUCAUCACAAAAUAAGAAACGAAAACUAAUUGCUAAGGCCUAAUGGUGAGAAGGGCCGGUGAAGGGGAAGGAAAAUUAAUAAAACAAACUUAGAGAAAACAAACCAGAGUUCACCCAGUGAUAGCACAAAAAUCCAAUGGGACACGACACACGAGGAAGACCACCACCACUCACGCCACCGGCGCCACCAUCAGCCUACAGCCGCUAGGAAGGAUAACCAAAAAGAAGGUUACAAGAGAAUUAAACCAAAAAUGUACAACACAAAACAGAAAAAGAAAAUAAUCCACAUAAAAAUCGUCCUAGGGCCGCCCUAGUGGUCGGGCAAGGCGCAGUUAACUGUAGCAGGACAAUCCUAUUUCGCUACUGCUACACAAUACUAACCCCCUCAAAAAAUCCAACAUGCCGGAGAGACGUUCACUCAAGAAUCCAACAUGGUCCGCCAUGUGGUUCACUCAAGGGGCGUGGUUAACCCCCGCAGUUCGUAUGUAUUGUUACUAAUUUGUAUGUUCAAGAUUUUCGUACACAUUUUUACGAACAGGCUUUGGAGAUCACAUUGGUCUGUCUGUGUGAGUAGGAAUGAUGUCCCCGUCACCCCUCCUUACUUUUAUUCACCCACUGUCUCUCUCCUGAUCUCUCUCCCUUCCUUGACCUCUCACCCCCCCGUGACAAAAGUCCAGCCCCUCCCUCAACUCCUUCCCCCCCUACUUCUUUCGACUAGCAUCCAUCCAUCUAUCCAUUUUCAACCACUUAUCCGGGGCCGGGUCGCGGGGGCAACAGCUCCAGCAGGGGACCCCAAACUUCCCUUUCCCAGGCCACAUCUACCAGUUCUGACUGGGGGAUCCCAAGGCGUUCCCAGGCCAGUGCAGAGAUAAAAUCUCUCCACCUAGUCCUGGGUCUUCUCCGGGGCCUCUUCCCAGCUGGCCGUCCCUAGGGAGGCGCCCAGGGGGCAUCCUCACCAGAUGCUCAAACCAAACCAAAGCCAAACCAAACCAAAGGAGCAGCGGCUCUACUCCGAGCUCCUCGCGAAUGGCUGAGCUUCUCACCUUAUCCCUAAGGGAGACGCCAGCCACUCUCCUGAGGAAACCCAUUUCGGCCGCUAGUACCCGUGACCUAGUUCUUUCGAUCAUGACCCAUCCUUCAUGACCAUAGGUGAGGGUAGGAACAAAGAUUGACCGGUAGAUCGAGAGCUUUGCCUUCCGGCUCAGCUCUGUUUUCGUCACAACGGUGCGGUAAAGCGAGUGCAAUACCGCCCCCGCUGCUCCGAUUCUCCGGCCAAACUCACACUCCAUCUUCCCCUCACUCGUGAACAAGACCCCGAGGUACUUGAACUCCUUCACUUGGGGUAAGGACACAUUCCCUACCUGGAGUAGGCAAUCCAUUGGUUUCCUGCGGGAGAAACCAUGGCCUCAGAUUUAGAGGUGCUAAUCCUCAUCCCGACCGCUUCACACUCGACUGCGAAACGCUCCAGUGAGAGUUGGAGGUCACAGACGGAAGAUGCCAUCAGGACCACAUCAUCUGCAAAAAGCAGCAAUGAGAUCUGCAGCGCCCCGAACUGUAAACCCUCCUCCCCCCGACUACGCCUCGAUAUCCUGUCCAUGAAAACCACAAACAAGAUUGGUGACAAGGCGCAGCCCUGGCGAAGGCCAACCCCCACCGGAAACGCCUUCGACUUACUACCGAGCACCCGAACACAGCUCUCGCUUUGGGCGUACAAGGAUUGGAUGGCCCCAAGCAAGGACACCCUCACCCCGUACUCCUGCAGCACCUCCCACAGUUUCUCCCGGGGGACCCGGUCAUACGCCUUCUCCAAGUCCACAAAACACAUGUAGACUGGAUGAGCAUACUGCCAAGCCCCUUCUAGGAUCCUGGAAAGAGUGGAAAUUUGCCUCCUUUCGCCGAAAUGGUGGAACGAGCUCUCUGUAGACACCAGGACCGCAGAGAGCCUUCACAUCUUCCGUCGCAAACUAAAGACACACCUCUUCAGACUCUACCUCGACUAAAGACUAACAAAUUGUAGCACUUAAAUUGUACUUGUAACGUCACUCAUCUAUAGCAAAUUGUAAAUUGGCUUAUUUGAGGAAAUUGCACUUUCUUGUUUCUUGUUCUCCUGAGUUUGUACCCUAUGGUUGAAUGCACUUAUUGUACGUCGCUUUGGAUAAAAGCGUCAGCUAAAUGACAUGUAAUGUAAUGUAAUGUAAUGUAAUGAAGAGCUAGUCCGUUGUUCCACGACCAGGACGAAAACCGCAUUGUUCCUCUUCAAUCCUUGGUUCGACUAUCGGCCGAACCCUCCUUUCCAGCACCUUGGAGUAGACUUUACCCGGGAGGCUGAGUAGUGUGAUACCCCUGUAAUUGGCACACACUCUCUGGUCCCCCUUUUUGAAGAGGGGUACCACCACCCCGGUCUGCCACUCUUCUGGCACUGUCCCAGACUUCCAUGCAAUGUUGAAGAGGCGUGUCAUCCAAGACAACCCCCAACACCCAUUGCUUUUAGCAUCUCUGGACGGAUCUCAUCAAUCCCGGGGCUUUGCCACUGCGGAGUUGUUUGACUACCUCAGUGACCUCCACCAGGCCAAUUGACGAUGAUCCCUCGAGUGACAACAAAGUGACGAGUGAGAAAUGACAGUUAAAGUGACAUGUGCAGUAUGAAGGGGAGUGACCGGUGGAAUGUCAGAGUCAGACAGUGGGGGACCGGGCUCUGUUCAUGAGCCCGACCCAGACGGGAAGAAACUGUUUGUGUGGUGGGAGGUCUUAGUCUCCUGCCAGAUGGAAGGGGCACAAACAGGUUUUGUCCGAGGUGAGAGGGGUCGGCUACGAUCUUUUUAGCUCGCUUCAGAGACCUGGAAGCGAACAAGUCCUGCAGGGACGGCAGAUUGCAGCCGAUCACCCUCUCUGCAGAGCGGAUGACACGCUGUGACUGGAGGUGCAGCUGUUGGUGUACAGGGAGAAGAGCAGAGGGGAAAGAACGCAGCCUUGGGGGGAACCGGUGCUGAUGGUCCGAGAGGCUGAGACAUGUUUCCCCGGCUUCACGUGCUGCUUCCUGUCAGACAGGAAGUCAGUGAUCCACUUGCAGGUGGAGUCGGGCACGUGCAGCUGGGAGAGUUUGUCCUGCAGCAGAGACGGGAUGAUGGUGUUGACGGCAGAGCUGAAGUCCACAAACAAGAUCCUGGCGUAGCACUGCAUGAAAAGUGGGAUUUUCGGCAGUAUGCGGCACUGUAAAUUGUCGUGGAAUUCAGGUUUGCGGCAAUUUGCGGCAAUUUGCCAAUUUGGCUCUGUAGGUUAACUGCAGGGGGUCCAGGAGGGGGUCAGUGAGGGACUUCAGGUGGGUCAGGACUAGCCGUUCAAAAGACUUCAUGACUACAGAGGUCAGGGCGACGGGCCUGUAGUCAUUGGGUCCUGAGUGCAGGUUGACUUUUUCCCUUUUUCCUUUUCUAUCCUCUUCAUUUGUUGUGGCUUUAUGCUACAUGUAUAAUCACUGUUAUAGUUGUAUACUAUACGUGGGUUAUCUAAAUCGAUACAAAUGCACGGAGACGAGGAUGCAGUACACGUUAGGUAAUUUACUGGCGCUCAAAUCCCAAAACUGUCAGGCAUGAACAAACAAUUACAGAACUCCGUCGUAGUGACAGUCAAACACAAUCGAGCACCGAGUACUCGAUCCAAUAUACCACAUCGUUGAUCAUGCUACUAAACAUUUCUGAGCUAUGAUCCUUGAUCUCGCCUUUGACUUCCAGGUCAUCUUUGAAGCCUUGCAUCACAGUGUCACCCACAACGGCCAUGACUUCAGGCAUGUUACUGGUACUUAGAUUGUUCAGCAUGGCUUCUGUCAAGACCGUGACCCUUUUUAAACACAAACACAGCAGCCGGACGUAACAGUGCACCUUUGCUACAUAUUGAGCUUUUUUUUUUUUUUUCAAUGGGCGAACCGGAGAACCUGGAGAAAACCCAAAACCAAUAACCUUGAGCGCGUACCUUAGUUUAAGUGUGUCACUGUUUUCUAGCGACGUUCAUGGCUGAGCGCAUGCAGCUGACUAACCGGCGCAUGCAGCUUCUUCUUCGCUCUGUUGGUGUCAUGUAAUCUUUGAUGGCAGAGAUGAUGCAGUUUUCUACUGCGACAUCCCCUAAUUUCAGCACCAUUUCUUCAUUGCCAAUCUUCUUGAGAAUAGUCUUGUUGAGGUCAUUGAUGUGUUUUUUUUGUGAAAUCAAAGUGCAGGUUGACUCUUUCCACAGUUUUUUCAACAAGGCCCUGCAUGAGGACCAGGAUUUCACUUU